AGGUACAAGGAGUUUGAACUAAAUAUGGGUGAAAAUAGUUGUAUUGAUCACUGCAUAUCAAAAUAUUGGCAUGUGACUAAUCUAAUCGGCCAGCUGCUAGGUUCAGGUCGGCCCCCAAUGUGAAAUUAAGGCUAUUCUGAAAUUUGCUAUACAUUAGUUACGUGUUUACCUGGCUGGUUGCCAAAGGUUGAUACUGGAAUGAUUUUUGUUUGUAGCAAACUCAAUGAGGUGGUUCCAUUUUGUUUUUUUUUUUUUUUAAAGUAUUGGCGGCAAUUUGAAUUUAUGUUGCUCCUAGAUUUAAGUCAUAAAAUUGUUAGCUCUUCAUAAAUGAAAUAUUAUUCUUGGAAAAA